CGGCGGGCGGGAGAGGCUGCGAGAGGCGAACCGCGGCGGUGAGGGCGGCACCGGGUAACGGGGAGUGCGGGAGCUCGCGGCUGGUUCGCGGCCGCCCUUCCUCCGCACGGGGAUGAGGCGUUUCCUUUUUCGGGGGCUAGCACUGGAGCGCUGCCCGGGCUGGCACGGAACGGCAUUCCCCCCGCGGGGAUACACAGAAAGAAGUUGAAAAAUAAGGAUGUAAAAACUACUUUUCUUUUCCUGCUCAUUUGAAGAGGUGCCAGUAAAUCUAGCUCCCUAUUUUCACUUCAAGAUGCUCAAGAUCACACACGGAAUUCAGAAUUGCUUUGAAGAUACUGUGAAGGAUUUCUGAUUCAAAACGAAUAUCCUUGUCUGUGUGAACACUGUAGGGCUAUUGACAAGAAAGAAAAAAAAAUUAAUCCCAAAUUAUCCAUGUGACUGGUUAAACAGACAGCGUAGCAUCUUAUUCAAGAGGCAUUUCCUUAAAUCCAUCUUCUUAACUCUAAUAAACAUUCCCUUGAAAUCAA